AACGCACAUUGCGCCCAUUGGCAUUCCGAUGGGCAUGCCUGUUCGAGCGUCAUUAUCCUCCCUCAAACCUCGGGUUUGGUGUUGGACCGGGUUGGUCGAUCGAUCAACUGGUCUCAAAGACAAUGACGGCGUCCGUGGGACCCUCUACGCAACGAGCUUCUCGGAGCACGCGUCGAGUUUCAAGGACCCUCCGGGCCGGUCACCCGUCGCCCCCCCCAGGGACGACACCUUCCAGGUUGACCUCGGAUCAGGUAGGAAUACCCGCUGAACUUAA
rnacentral:misc_RNA from 1 species